UUCAAGUGCAAUCAUGAGUUUUCGUGUCUAAUUUUGAUCGUCCGUCUUAUUUAAAUUUUUUUUUAUAAUUAGUAUAUUUGUUGUUAUAAGAUGAUAAAACAUUAAUAGUAUUUUACUCGUGACUUGUGUUUUUAAUUUUUUUUUUAAAAAAAAUAAAUAAGACGGACGAUCAAAGUUGAGCACGGAAAAUUACAGCUGCAGUUAAA
rfam:Oryza sativa Japonica Group DNA, chromosome 10, cultivar: Nipponbare, complete sequence.